UUAAUAUUCCUUAGCUUUUUGUACUCUAAAUCAAGUAGUAAAGAAUGUGAUCAUCCUUGUGAUCUUACUUAUAAGUAAAAUGAAUUGUAGUUUUGAACCAAGAAGCUUUCUCCUCAGGAAACAGCACUGAAGAACAACAAGCUUCAAUGAGAACGUAUAAGUACCUUCAAAUAAUCCAAAAGAAAGAAGAAAUCAGAAUAACUUUAGAAUAGCUCUACAUAUGUGUAGAAGUGGUUGCAAAAAUAUUUCUCAGCACUGCCCAUCCCCUGGCUCCUCAAAGAAGAAGUCCUUCCUUUAUUCUCAAAACCCCAUUCAAGAUAUAAAUAGCUAUAACAGGAGACACAGAGGAAGAAGG